CGAAGGAGACUUGAGAGGCGCUGUCCUUAGUACGAGAGGACCGGGAUGGACGAACCUCUAGUGUUCCAGUUGUCAUGCCAGUGGCAUUGCUGGGUAGCUAUGUUCGGAUGAGAUAACCGCUGAAAGCAUCUAAGUGGGAAACUCACCUCAAGAUUAGGUCUCCCGGGUAGUAAUACCCCUAAAGGUCCGUGGUAGACCACCACGUUGAUAGGCUGAAGGUGUAAGUGUGGUAACACAUUGAGCUGAUCAGUACUAAUAGACCGUGUGCCUUGACCCU
rnacentral:rRNA from 1 species